GGGUACAAGUAUACAGAGGAAAACACCAAGUGAGGAAAACUUAACAAAACACAAAAGCCAGAGUUAAGUGACGGCAGCUGAGCAGCGCAGGUCCCAUGCUUCUUCCACUCAUGGCUCCAGAGGGAAGUGCGCGAGUCCUCUCCAAAAAUGUUGCCCCAAUACUUUAUCAAGUAAGGCUCAAUGUUGAGGAUUUCGGACUCCUGGAAAUCCCAUGACUUGUUGCAGUAAUUUGGGCCGAUUGUGCCUAAUUUUGUGGGCCUGAAAAAGGGGUGUAAUGUCAGAAAAUAAAUCUGGAAAAGAAAGAAAAAAGAAGAGGAAGAGAGAGAGAAAUAAAAAGACCCAGAGUGUAAAAAAAUGGCAUGAAUGUACGAAAAGAAAAGGCUAGAAAAGAUAAACGUAUCUGAAGAUAAAUAUGGAAGAAUGGAAGUGGAAGUGUUAAGUCUGGGGAUAAAAAAAAGUAAAAGAAGUAAAGUGCGGAUAAUUAUGAAACAGGUGUAAUACCUAUGAAGACUAUGGAUAAGUAUGAGGUGCAAAAUCUGUGGAUAAGCAUGAAAACAUGAAAAGUCGAUGGCUAGCUAAAUAAAGGGCUGAGGCUUAUGGAUGGAGCAAAAAAGUGCAAAGUCUAUUGAUAACUAUGAAAAAGCUGCAAGAUUUUUGGCCGAAAAUGAAAUAGUUGUUAAGCCUCUGGGUAAAUUAACAGGUUUAUAGUCCAGGGCCAGAUGCAGAGGUAAAAUGAAUAAAUAUAGAAUAGUAUAAAGACUAGAUACUGGAAGUAAGAAAGUGUAACAUCCACGGAUGGUUUUGUAAAAGCUGUAAAUUUUGAAAAGAAGUGGAAGUGACAAAAUUACUGAAAGAAUAUCAACUUCCAUAGCUGAAGCGCAGAUAUGCAUUUUCCCAUUACUGAGUGAAUCUAGUAAACUCACUGAUGCAAUAUGCUGCAUGUGUAAAAAUGUGAUAUAAAAUAUAGAAUGGCAGAUGGACAGAGAAAACGGUUAUGCUGUUAUACAGGAAAAAGAAAAAUGGUCAUCUUCUACUAAGUAACAGAAGCUUUUAAGCGUCCCCAGAGGCGCCGCUAACUGCCCUGAAGGAUUAGAGCAGCUGCAGGACUGACCUGCGUUGACCCGCUGAGGUCACUCGUCAAGGAGUGUCUACCAGUCAGCCAUUGUGAAUCUCAGACAACAGUCACAGGAUGCAGUCAGGCUGGAGAAACUGGAGUAAUGUCCUUCGCGUGAAAAGAAAACUGGUAUGCGCGCGCAGGGACACCAGAGGAGCGGCGCCGAUUCUCGAGCUCCAGGAGCAGGGACCUGGCGAGGCGGAAAGGCGAGUAAUGACAGAAUCCGUGGAGCAACAAAGAUAUUGGAAAAUAUCAAGGAAAAUCGAGGAAGGAAGAGUGAGAUGGUACGCCCGUGUGAUGCGGAGAGAUGGAAAUUUGUGGGGAAACGAGUUCUUGCUAUUAAUGCAUCACUGUUAUCAGUAUCACCAUUAUCAUUAUUAUUAUAAUUAU